UCCUGUUAUUAAGUAGACACUAAAAAAGUAAAAGGUUUACGCCUCUAGAAAGUAAAAGAUUCUGCUCUCAUUUUGUUAACCAGGAAGAAGAGCAACAGACGUAAAAACAGAUACUGAGAGGAGACGGUGAGAUUCAGGGAGGAGCUCAGACGUUACUGAACUAUAGAAGAGAUGAACUUCUACAUUCAACAGAGUUCAAUAUACGAAGCAUCAACAUCACCUUCCUUCAACAUGCUGUCAUCACUGAUGUUUCUAGUUAUUCUACAAGGAUUCAGCUGUGAAGAACUCACACCAGUGAAGACAGAAGAAAACAGUGUAGAAGACACGACUGUUACUCUGUCCUACAAUUACUCACGUCAGGCAACUGGUAGUGAUUAUUUCUUCUGGUAUCGACAAUAUUCAGGAAAACCACCAGAGUUCCUCAUCUUUCACUUAGGAACACAACAUGCAACAAGCUCUAGACUGUCUGCUAAAGUGAGUGAUGAUAAACCCAGAAUGGAUCUGAAGAUCUCGUCUGCUGCAGUGUCAGACUCUGCUGUGUACUACUGUGCUGUGAAGCCCACAGUGACAGGAAACACCAAGACUCUGUACAAGAACCUCUGGAGCAAAGACAACUCUGUACACCAUCCACCAGAGGGAGUCUCCAUCUGAAUAUCUUCAGCAGGAUGUGACGAUACCGUGUGGAUUAUUCAUAGUGGUGA